GAGGGUAUAGCUCAGUGGUAGCUCAUUGGUUGUGCUUACCAUGCACGAGGUCCUGGGUUCAAUCCCCAGUACCUCCA
rnacentral:tRNA from 1 species